GGAAUAUUGGACAAUGGGCGAAAGCCUGAUCCAGCCAUGCCGCGUGCAGGAUGAAGGCCUUCGGGUUGUAAACUGCUUUUGUACGGAACGAAAAGACUCUGGUUAAUACCUGGGGUCCAUGACGGUACCGUAAGAAUAAGCACCGGCUAACUACGUGCCAGCAGCCGCGGUAAUACGGAGGGUGCAAGCGUUAAUCGGAAUUACUGGGCGUAAAGCGUGCGCAGGCGGUUAUGUAAGACAGAUGUGAAAUCCC
rnacentral:rRNA from 1 species